AUUGAACGCUGGCGGCAGGCCUAACACAUGCAAGUCGAGCGGAUGAGGAGAGCUUGCUCUCUGAUUUAGCGGCGGACGGGUGAGUAAUGCCUAGGAAUCUGCCUGGUAGUGGGGGAUAACGUCCGGAAACGGGCGCUAAUACCGCAUACGUCCUACGGGAGAAAGCAGGGGACCUUCGGGCCUUGCGCUAUCAGAUGAGCCUAGGUCGGAUUAGCUAGUUGGUGAGGUAAUGGCUCACCAAGGCUACGAUCCGUAACUGGUCUGAGAGGAUGAUCAGUCACACUGUAACUGAGACACGGUCCAGACUCCUACGGGAGGCAGCAGUGGGGAAUAUUGGACAAUGGGCGAAAGCCUGAUCCAGCCAUGCCGCGUGUGUGAAGAAGGUCUUCGGAUUGUAAAGCACUUUAAGUUGGGAGGAAGGGCAGUAAGUUAAUACCUUGCUGUUUUGACGUUACCGACAGAAUAAGCACCGGCUAACUUCGUGCCAGCAGCCGCAGUAACAC
rnacentral:rRNA from 1 species